rnacentral:snoRNA from 1 species
AUGAUUUAAAAAACAGGAAUCAUCCAUAACACCCUACAUUAAAAAAGGAGCUCUCAGGGCUGCCAACCUUAUAGCAUAGGUUGAGUAAUAGUAUGUUUCUCCUACAUAA